CCUUCAAUGAUCGUGGUGAGUGUAUUGGUGUGGCAUUCCAGGUUUUCAGAUCCGAAGACACUGAAAAUAUUGGAUAUGUUAUUCCAACCACUGUGGUUUCUCAUUUUCUUGAUGAUUAUGAAAGAAAUGGGAAGUAUACUGGAUUUCCUUCUCUUGGGGUAUUACUUCAUAAAUUGGAGAAUCCAGCAUUGCGGGCAUGCUUAAAAGUACCUUCUAAUGAGGUAUUUAUGU